ACAUUUGUGUAACCCACCCAGGUGAUCCAUUUUUAUAUAUUUUUGAUCGAUAGAACAAUUUGGAAGAGAAAAGAAGGAUGAUUUACAGGAAAUGGAGUUUGCUGACGGGUCCUGCUACUGUCGUGGGGGGCGUUGCAGCCACCCUUCUUGCCCUUGAUUUCAUCGUCAAGCAGAAGGAUCCCUUUGCUCAACCUCCCGAAAAGAAGCAACGCUCACCUCAACAUCGUUAACAAGGUAGAUGAUGAUGUUAAGAGGUGAAUUCAGACCUACCAGUUGGAUGUUUUUGUUUGUUUCGAUUUGUAAUUUGCAAAUGUGUGUUUCCAGAAACCCAACUCUUUAAUUGAAUAAAUUUUGAUCAGCCAACUUUAAUGGUAGGCAUUUACACA